ACAUCGUGCACGUGACACAUUAUUAUUUUGCAUAUACAUUAUAAAGUCAAUAACAAAUAACCAGAUGUAUCAAAAAUCAAAUAACCAUCUCUAGAUCAACAUUCUAUAGAAAAGUGCAUGUCUAUUGUUAAUGUCAAUUACUUUAAAAUAGCCCUGUAUAUCAUCGUAAGUGGAGUAAUUUAGCAAAGACAAUCAUAGAUCUACCAACAACAUCACAUUCUUAAUACUAGUAGAUGAAAAAAAAAAAAAUCACGAAAGGCUCUCUGAUGAGAUUUCCUGAAUUUGGGCAGACAUAUGACUCGUUGAGGGAUUAAACAUGUUGAGGUAGUUUUGAUUUUGACAUAUUAAUUUGAUCUAUAAGUUGUAAUUUAACUUUUCAAAAAUGGUCCUCAUUGUCAUCAUGCAUAAUUGAAAGAAACUUUUUUUUUCAUUUGAUAUAAAAAAAAAA
rnacentral:lncRNA from 1 species